UACGGGGGGGGCAAGCGUUGUUCGGAAUUACUGGGCGUAAAGGGCUCGUAGGUGGCCAACUAAGUCGGACGUGAAAUCCCUCGGCUUAACCGGGGAACUGCGUCCGAUACUGGUUGGCUUGAGUUUGGGAGAGGGAUGCGGAAUUCCAGGUGUAGCGGUGAAAUGCGUAGAUAUCUGGAGGAACACCGGUGGCGAAGGCGGCAUCCUGGACCGGCAUUGACGCUGAGGCGCGAAAGCUAGGGGAGCAAACGGG
rnacentral:rRNA from 1 species